rnacentral:rRNA from 1 species
UACAGAGGGUGCAAGCGUUAAUCGGAAUUACUGGGCGUAAAGCGUGCGUAGACGGUUAUGUAAGUCGGGUGUGAAAGCCCCGGGCUCAACCUGGGAAUUGCAUUCGAGACUGUGUAGCUAGGGUACGGAAGAGGGAAGCGGAAUUUCAGGUGUAGCGGUGAAAUGCGUAGAUAUCUGAAGGAACACCAGUGGCGAAAGCGGCUUCCUGGGCCAGUACCGACGUUCAGGCACGAAAGCGUGGGGAGCAAACAGG